UACGUAGGGCGCAAGCGUUAUCCGGAAUUAUUGGGCGUAAAGAGCUCGUAGGCGGCCUGUUGCGUCCGCUGUGAAAUCCCAGGGCUCAACCCUGGGCGUGCAGUGGAUACGGGCAGGCUGGAGGCAGGCAGGGGAGAACGGAAUUCCCGGUGUAGCGGUGAAAUGCGCAGAUAUCGGGGGGAACACCGGUGGCGAAGGCGGGUCUCUGGGCUGUUACUGACGCUGAGGAGCGAGUGCGUGGGGAGCGAACAGG
rnacentral:rRNA from 1 species